rnacentral:rRNA from 1 species
UACGGAGGAUGCAAGCGUUAUCCGGAAUGAUUGGGCGUAAAGCGUCCGCAGGUGGCAAUGUAAGUCUGCUGUCAAAGCGUCUGGCUCAACCAGAUAAAGGCAGUGGAAACUACAUAGCUAGAGUAAGGUAGGGGUAGAGGGAAUUCCUGGUGUAGCGGUGAAAUGCGUAGAGAUCAGGAAGAACACCGGUGGCGAAAGCGCUCUGCUGGACCUUAACUGACGCUGAUGCACGAAAGCUAGGGUAGCGAACGGG